rnacentral:rRNA from 1 species
GCUUCAUUCAAAUAUCUGCCCUAUCAACUUUCGAUGGUAGGAUAGUGGCCUACCAUGGUUUUAACGGGUAACGGGGAAUAAGGGUUCGAUUCCGGAGAGGGAGCCUGAGAAACGGCUACCACAUCCAAGGAAGGCAGCAGGCGCGCAAAUUACCCAAUCCCGACCGGGGAGGUAGUGACAAUAAAUAACAAUAUAGGGCUCUUUUGGGUCCUAUAAUUGGAAUGAGUACAAUUUAAAUCUCUUAACGAGAAACAAUUGGAGGGCAAGUCUGGUGCCAGCAGCCGCGGUAAUUCCAGCUCCAAUAGCGUAUAUUAAAGUUGUUGCAGUUAAAAAGCUCGUAGUUG